GGACCCGUAGCUCAGCCUGGAUAGAGCAUCGGACUUCUAAUCCGAUGGCCGCGGGUUCGAAUCCUGCCGGGUCCGCCA
rnacentral:tRNA from 1 species